GAUGAACGCUGGCGGCGUGCCUAAUACAUGCAAGUCGAGCGAACAGAUGAGGAGCUUGCUCCUCUGACGUUAGCGGCGGACGGGUGAGUAACACGUGGAUAACCUACCUAUAAGACUGGGAUAACUUCGGGAAACCGGAGCUAAUACCGGAUAAUAUAUUGAACCGCAUGGUUCAAUAGUGAAAGACGGUUUUGCUGUCACUUAUAGAUGGAUCCGCGCCGCAUUAGCUAGUUGGUAAGGUAACGGCUUACCAAGGCAACGAUGCGUAGCCGACCUGAGAGGGUGAUCGGCCACACUGGAACUGAGACACGGUCCAGACUCCUACGGGAGGCAGCAGUAGGGAAUCUUCCGCAAUGGGCGAAAGCCUGACGGAGCAACGCCGCGUGAGUGAUGUAGGUCUUCGGAUCGUAAAACUCUGUUAUUAGGGAAGAACAAAUGUGUAAGUAACUAUGCACGUCUUGACGGUACCUAAUCAGAAAGCCACGGCUAACUACGUG
rnacentral:rRNA from 1 species